rnacentral:tRNA from 1 species
UACACCUUAGUAUAAGAUGUACUAGAAUUUUUGAUAUUUUAGGGGAUAGUUUGAUUCUAUCAGGUGUAA